UGUGUGGCAUACGGCUCAGUAACACGUAGUCAACAUGCCCAGGGGACGUGGAUAACCUCGGGAAACUGAGGAUAAACCGCGAUAGGUCACUACUUCUGGAAUGGGUAAUGACCCAAACCUAUAUGGCCCCUGGAUUGGACUGCGGCCGAUCAGGCUGUUGGUGAGGUAAUGGCCCACCAAACCUGUAACCGGUACGGGCUCUGAGAGGAGGAGCCCGGAGAUGGGCACUGAGACAAGGGCCCAGGCCCUAUGGGGCGCAGCAGGCGCGAAACCUCUGCAAUAGGCGAAAGCUUGACAGGGUUACUCUGAGUGAUUUCCGUUAAGGAGAUCUUUUGGCACCUCUAAAAAUGGUGCAGAAUAAGGGGUGGGCAAGUCUGGUGUCAGCCGCCGCGGUAAUACCAGCACCCCGAGUGGUCGGGACGUUUAUUGGGCCUAAAGCAUCCGUAGCCGGUUCUACAAGUCUUCCGUUAAAUCCACCUGCUCAACAGAUGGGCUGCGGAAGAUACUAUGGAGCUAGGAGGCGGGAGAGGCAAGCGGUACUCGAUGGGUAGGGGUAAAAUCCGUUGAUCCAUUGAAGACCACCAGUGGCGAAGGCGGCUUGCCAGAACGCGCUCGACGGUGAGGGAUGAAAGCUGGGGGAGCAAACCGGAUUAGAUACCCGGGUAGUCCCAGCUGUAAACGAUGCAGACUCGGUGAUGAGUUGGCUUUAUGCCAACUCAGUGCCGCAGGGAAGCCGUUAAGUUUGCCGCCUGGGGAGUACGGUCGCAAGACUGAAACUUAAAGGAAUUGGCGGGGGAGCACCACAAGGGGUGAAGCCUGCGGUUCAAUUGGAUUCAACGCCGGA
rnacentral:rRNA from 1 species